UGCUGGCGCGCGCGACGUGCCAGCGCUGUCGUGGACACGCGUGAACUGCUCCAACUUGUCUGCAGCCCGCGUGGUGUUUCAUUGAAGCGCAUCGUGCCGCCAUGGGGAAUCGCCUGACGUCGCUGCUCUUGGCUCUGCUGCUGUUUGUCUCCAGCUGUGUGCGGAGCCAUGAGGAGGCGGAACGGACACAAACCAUGCGAUUCACACAUUCAACCUACAAUGCCACCAUAUAUGAGAACUCCGCUGCCAAGACUUACCUGGAAAGCCCGGUGAAAAUGGGCAUUUAUGUCUUGGACCCAGCUUGGGAAGUGCGGUACAAGAUAGCAUCCGGUGACACAGAGAACCUCUUUAAAGCCGAGGACCAUGUAGUGGGAGACUUCAGCUUCUUGCGCAUCAGGACCAAAGGAGGCAGCACAGCUAUUUUAAACAGGGAAGUAAAAGACCACUACCUUCUAACGGUCAAGGCGUUUGAACGGACCACUAAUGCUGAAGUCCGCACGAGAGUUAGAGUUCAGGUGCUGGACACCAAUGAUCUCAGGCCCCUGUUCUCGCCCACCUCGUACAGCGUGUCCCUGCCAGAGAAUACUGCCAUAAGGUCCAGUGUGGCCAGGGUUACUGCGACAGAUGCCGAUGUGGGCACUAAUGGCGAAUACUACUACAGCUUCAGGGAGUGGACGGACAUGUUUGCGGUGCAUCCUACCAGUGGAGUGGUGACGCUCACGGGUCGCUUGGACCACUCAGAGACCCGGCUGUACGAGCUAGAGGUGUUGGCAGUAGACCGUGGCAUGAAGCUCUAUGGGAGUAGCGGUUUCAGCAGCACCGCGCGGCUCACUGUGCGAGUGGAGCCGGCCAAUGAGCAUGCUCCUGUCAUCACCGCUGUCACUCUCACCCCCUCAGACAGUGAUGGGGACCCCACAUACGCCAUGGUAACAGUGGAAGACGAUGACCAGGGACCAAAUGGGGAAAUUGCAUCACUGAGUGUUGUGGCAGGUGACCCACUUCAGCAGUUCAAGGCUAUGAGGACCAGUCCUGGCAGCAAGGAGUAUAGGAUAAAAGCAGUAAAGGAUGUGGACUGGGACAGCCAGCCUUAUGGAUACAACCUUACAUUGCAGGCUAAAGAUAAAGGAAACCCUCCUUUAUUCUCUGCUGUUAAAGUGGUUCAUGUCACAUCUCCAAAGUUUAAAGCUGGUCCCCCUAAAUUUGAGAAGAGUGUUUACAAAGUGAGCCUUAGUGAAUUUGCCCCAGUCCACACACCUGUAAUAAUGGUGAAAGCUGUCCCAAGCUACCCCCAGCUGAAGUAUGUAUUCAAAUAUAAGAUGGAGAAAAACCGGUUUGCCUUAAAUCCAGAUACGGGACUAAUUACCACCACUGGGCCAAUUCACGCAGACUAUGCCCCUAAAUAUGAACUGGAAGUCGUUACCAGCGACAGUAAAGCAGCCGCUAAGGUUGUGAUUGAUGUGAUUGACAUGAAUAACAAUUCCCCUGACUUUCAGCAAACCUCGUAUGAGGCCAGCGUUGAUGAGCACAUGCCAGUAGGAUCCAGUGUGCUAACAGUGAGUGCCAGUGACCUCGAUGAUGGGGAAAAUGGCUACGUCACUUACAGCAUUGCCAAUGUGAACCCACAACCUUUUGCCAUAGACUACUUCACUGGUGUCAUUAGUACUUCAGAAGACUUGGAUUAUGAGUUGAUGCCCAGGAUUUACAAUUUAAGAGUUAGGGCAUCGGACUGGGGGUCUCCAUUCCGCCGCGAAGUUGAGAUUCCGGUCACAAUCACGCUGAACAACCUGAACGACAACAAGCCCCUGUUUGAAAAUAUAGACUGCCAGGUUACUGUGCCAAGGGACCAUGCUGUUGGUGCGCAGAUAACGACGGUGUCUGCCAUUGAUGCAGAUGAAUUACAGUUGGUUCGAUAUGAAAUAAAAGCUGGGAACAACCUGGGCCUUUUUGACCUAAAUCCAAAUUCAGGAGUGCUGUCAUUGAAGCAGUCAUUAAACGAGGGCGAAGGGGCGAAAGUGUCCUUUUAUAGUUUACAGAUCACUGCGACUGAUGGUGAACAUGUUACUGCACCCAUGACUGUGAACAUCAGUGUGGUAACAGCCCAUAAGCCCAUCCAGCUGAAAUGCAUAGACACAGGGGUUGCUGCCAUGUUGGCAGAGAAGCUUCUCCAGGGCACUAAGAUCCACAGUCACGUGGAGCCAGAGGAUAACUUUGUGGAUAUUCAUACGAUUAACCGCUACGCACCACAGUUCUCUGAGUCGUUUCCCACAUUUAUUGAGGUCAGGGAAGACCUCCCUGUAGGGGCCAGAGUUGCACUCCUCACUGCCUCAGAUGCAGAUAGUGGCUUCAAUGGAAAACUUGUGUAUGUGAUUUCUGGAGGGAAUGCUGAGAGCCGGUUUAUUGUUGACAUGGAUACAGGUUGGCUUCAGGUAUACUCUCCACUAGACAGAGAAGCAGCAGAUCAUUACACGCUAAAUGUAACAGUUUAUGAUCUCGGGAUACCUCAGAAGUCCUCAUCACGUCUCCUGGAUGUCAACAUCUUGGACGCAAAUGACAACAGCCCACUAUUCUUGCAGGGCAGUUACUCUGCAGAAAUAAGUGAAAACACAGUGAUUGGUACAGAGAUUAUUCAAGUUGAGGCUACAGAUAAAGAUCUCGGUGUCAAUGGGGAAGUCCGAUACUCACUGGUGGCCGAUACCAGUCAGUUUGCUAUUCAUGAGAGGACUGGCGUAGUGACAGUGAAAAGUCCUCUGGACCGUGAGGUGCAUCCUGUUUAUAUUUUGAAAGUAGCUGCCCAAGAUCAAGCCACCAAUGAACCACAGUUGAUAUCUACAGUGAUCCUGAAAGUAGUUCUGGAGGAUGUCAAUGACAACCCUCCAAAGUUCAUUCCGUCGAGUUACCAGGUGAAAGUACGGGAAGAUCUCCCAAUCGGUACUGUGGUGCUGUGGCUAGAAGCCUAUGACCCCGAUGUGGGCCAGUCCGGCCAGCUGCGCUACAGUCUGGUUGACAGCGGAGACGGAAACUUUGAAGUGGACAAAUUGAGUGGAGCAGUGCGCAUUGUGAAAAACCUGGAUUAUGAGAAGAAGCAGGUGUACAACCUCACAGCACGAGCUAAGGACAAAGGAAAGCCUGUGUCCCUGUCCUCUACGUGCCACAUUGAGGUUGACAUAGUAGACGUCAACGAGAACCUGCAUCGCCCCUCGUUCCCCUCCUUCGUGGAUAAGGGCACCGUCAAGGAAGAUGCUGCUAUUGGCACCUCAGUUAUGAAAGUGACAGCACAAGAUGAAGACAAGGGGAGAGAUGGGGAAAUCAGAUACUCCAUUCGUGAUGGAUCAGGCCUUGGAGUGUUCAUCAUUGAUGAAGGCACUGGUGUCAUCCGAACACAGGAGCUUCUUGAUCAUGAAACCACCCCCCACUACUGGCUGACAAUCUAUGCCACAGACCAGGGUGUGGUGCCACUCUCUUCCUUCAUAGAAGUCUACAUCCAGGUGCAGGAUGUGAAUGACAAUGCCCCACAGACCGCUGAGCCUGUGUAUUACCCCACUGUCUUGGAGAACUCUCCCAAGGAUGUGUCCAUCAUCCGUGUGGAGGCCUGGGACCCUGACGCUGCCUCCCGUGACAAGCUCUCAUACAAGAUAACUAGCGGGAACCCUCAGGGUUUUUUCACCAUUGACUCCAAGACAGGUCUGGUCACCACAACAUCAAGAAAACUGGACCGAGAACAGCAGGAUGAGCACAUUCUGGAGGUCACAGUGACCGACCACGGGACUCCCGCCAGGUCCACAGUGGUCCGGGUCAUUGUGCACGUGUUGGACGAGAACGACAACCGGCCACAGUUCCUGGAGAAGAUCUAUAAGAUCAAGCUUCCGGAGCGGGAGAAGCCGGAACGGGAGCGGACUUCUCGCCGUGAGCCUGUCUACAGGGUUGUGGCUUCAGAUCGGGAUGAGGGUCCCAAUGCAGAGAUCUCCUACAGCAUUGAGGAAGGGGACGAGCAUGGAAAGUUCUUCAUCGAGCCAAAGACUGGAUUGGUGUCUUCUAAAAAGUACUCGUCAGCUGGAGAGUAUGACAUUCUCACUAUCAAAGCGGUGGACAAUGGACGCCCCCAGAAGUGGUCCACCUGUCGGCUGCACCUUGAAUGGAUUCCCAAACCCAAACCGUCCGCCCAGCCGCUAGCCUUUGAUGAGCCAUCCUUCUCCUUCUCUGUUAUGGAGAGUGAUCCCGUGGCCCACAUGGUGGGAGUCAUCACGACCGAACCCGUAGACACACCUGUCUGGUUCGAGAUCACAGGAGACACUCAGGCUAAAGAAGUGUUCUCCAUCGUUCAGAUGGCUUGUGACCUGAACUGUACAGCAGAAGGAGGUAACCACGACAGCCGUUUUGACGUGGGCAAGGGCAGUGGAACGAUCAUCGUGGCCAGGCCACUGGAUGCCGAGCAGCGGUCCAGUUAUAACCUGACUGUGGAAGCCACAGACGGAACCAGAUCUGUUAGCACCCAGGUCUCCAUCCGCAUCAUCGACACCAACAACCACCGGCCCCAAUUCUCCCAGCCCAAGUAUGAGAUCAGCGUCCCUGAGGACACGGCACCCGAGACUGCGGUCCUACGGGUCAGCGCUACCGACCGAGAUGAGAAGAACAAGCUGACAUACACACUACUGAGCAGCACUGACCCGUUCAGUCUGAGGAAAUUCCGUCUGGAGCCUGGGACGGGUGUUCUCUACACCACUGAGCACCUAGAUCAUGAGACCAUGCGACGACACAUCCUGACUGUGAUGGUGCGUGACCAGGACAUUCCAGUGAAGAGGAACCUUGUGAGAGUAAUCAUAAAUGUGGAGGAUGCCAAUGACAACGCACCAUGGUUCACAAGUUCUGCCUAUUUGGGCCGUGUGUUUGAGUCCGCCUCUGUGGGUUCUGCUGUACUGCAGGUCACUGCUCGCGACAAAGACACAGGCCGCAAUGCCGAGAUCAUCUACAGCAUAGAGUCAGGAAAUGUUGCGAAUUCAUUUGCUAUUGACCCUGUCCUUGGCACGAUAAUGGUCGCGAAGGAGCUUGAUCGCAGCAGCAAGAACCAAUUUGAUCUGGUUGUGAAGGCUACUGAUAAAGGACUUCCUCCACUGAGUGCAGUGACAACCAUCCAGAUUAUGGUAACAGUAUCUGAUAAUGCCGUACCUAGAUUCACCAGUAAGGAGUUCUCUGCUGAGGUCAGUGAAACAGCUCUGCCUGGAACAUUUGUAAGUUUAGCCACAGCGUCCAGCCAGUCUUCCGUCUUCUACCAGAUAAAAGGUGGAAACGUGGACAGUGCUUUCGAUAUUAAUCCCAACUCUGGUGUGGUGGUCACUCAGAAGAUUUUGGACUUUGAGACAUUGCCUUCAUACAGGCUGGUAGUGCAGGGGACCAGCAUGGCUGGCCUGGCCAGUAACACAACGCUCUUAAUACACCUGAAGGACGAAAAUGACAACGCUCCGGUCUUCAUGGAGCGUGAAUUCAAAGGUGUGGUCAGUGAGUCAGCCCCAGUAAACACCAUGGUUCUCACAGGAGACAACUCUCCAUUGGUGAUCCGGGCCACAGAUGCAGACAGAGACUCCAAUGCAAUGUUGGUCUAUCAGAUUGUGGAGCCAUUUGCCCACAACUACUUUGCCAUUGACUCCAGCACAGGAGCUAUAAGGACCAUCGCUGUGCUAGACUAUGAAGACAGGAGCUUGUUUCGCUUCACCGUGCAGGUUCACGACAUGGGAAUGCCACGUUUAUUUGCUGAGACAGCAGCCAAUGUGACAGUCCUAGUCAGAGACAUCAAUGACUGCUCUCCACAAUUCAGCCAACCCCUGUAUGAGGCUUCUGUCAUCUUGCCAACUUACAAAGGUGUCCAAGUGAUUGCGAUAAAUGCCACCGAUGCGGACUCUGGGCCAAAUUCCAAGCUUUUCUUCUCCAUUUCGGGCGGCAACAUUGGCGAUAAAUUCAGGAUGGAUCCGAACACAGGUAUAAUUUCCAUUCAGAAUGUCACCCAGCUCAGAAGCAGAUACGAGUUGCGAGUAAGGGUUUCUGAUGGAAGGUUUGCCAACAUGACCUCAGUAAAAAUAAAUGUGGGGGAGAACAAGGAGAGCAGCCUGAAGUUUACUCAGGAGUUAUACACAGCCUCUGUUCGUGAAAACUCAGCAGAGAACAAGACUGUUGCUAUCAUUGCUGCUGUGGGGAACCGUGUGAAUGAGCCAAUGUUUUAUGCUAUACUGAAUCCUGACAGGAGGUUUAAGAUUGGCCAUACGUCUGGGGUGCUCUCCACUACAGGCAUACCAUUUGACCGCGAAGAGCAGAACUCAUUUGAUAUUGUUGUGCAGGUGACAAAGGAAGACAGAUCAUCUGGGGUGGCCCACGUUCUUGUAAAGGUGACCAUUGAAGAUGAGAAUGACAAUGAGCCAGCGUUUGUCAAUUUGCCGUACCACGCUCUAGUGCAGAUGGAGGCAGAAGUGGGUCAGGUCAUCAGGCAGGUGACUGCAGUGGACAGAGAUGUUGGCAGGAAUGCUGAGAUCCAUUACCACCUCACCGAACAUCACAAGCAUUUCCAGAUAAGUCCAUCAGGUGAAAUUUCUUUAAAGAGGAGGUUGGAAAAGGAUGCUCUCAACACAGAGUUUGUAAUUUCUGUCAUGGCCAAAGAUGGAGGGGAUCCAGCCCUUUCAUCAGUGGUCGAGGUGUCCAUAAGAGUUGUGGACAGAGCUGUUCCCAUGUUUGAAAAGCCCUUUUACAGCAUAGAAAUUCCAGAGAACAUACCACUACGUGCUCCAGUAGUCCACGUCCAGGCCAGUGACUCUGAGGGACCCCGAGUUGUGUACACCAUAGAAGAAGGAGAUCCACUCAGCCAGUUUUCCAUCAGCUUCAACACUGGGGUCAUACAUGUAUUCAAACCACUAGAUUUUGAAAUGCACCCUGCCUAUAAGUUAAGUGUGAGAGCAACAGACUCUCUGACUGGGGCACAUGCUGAGGUUUUUGUGGACAUUAUUCUGGAAGAUGUCAAUGAUAAUAACCCAGUGUUUCAGUCAAACCAGUACAACGUAAGCCUCUCGGAGGCCUCUACCCCUGGCACAUCUGUGUUGCAGGUGACCGCUACAGACUUGGACUCGGGCAACAACAAAUUAAUUUCAUAUCAGCUAGUUGAAGAUGCAGGAAAGAAUACCAGUUAUUUCACCAUUGAUUGGGACAGCGGUAUUAUCUGGACAGCCCACAUGUUGGACUUCGAGGAGGCAUCUCGACAUGAGUUGAUUGUGAGGGCUGUGGAUGCUGGAGUCCCUGCUCUUUCCAGCGAAGUGACUGUGACAAUUUACUUGACAGAUGUCAAUGACAAUGCUCCUGUCUUCACCCAGCAGUUAUACAAUGCUACUGUCAGUGAACUUGCUUCUCGUGGGCAUUUUGUCACACAAGUGCAGGCUUCUGAUCCGGAUCGUUCUGAUGUGGGAAAACUGGAGUUCUCCAUCGUCACUGGAAACGAGGACCAAAACUUUGCCAUUGACCGGGAAACUGGUGCAAUUUUUAUUUCAAAUCAUCGCAAGGUGCAAAUGGAAUCGAGUUAUGAUCUGGAAGUGUCUGUGUCUGACGGAGUGUUCAGAAGCUCAGUUGUGGUCACGAUUGUAGUCACUGGUGCCAACUUUCACAGCCCUUCUUUUACUCAGAUGGAAUAUGUGGUAGAACUUGUGGAGAAUUCCCCAGUUGGCACACUGAUUGCAGAAACCAAAGCCAUUGACCCCGACUCGGGCACCUAUGGACAGGUGUCAUACUACAUUGUGAAUGACUUUGCCAGAGACAAAUUUUCUGUUAACGACAACGGAGAGGUUUAUGCUCUUGAGGUCCUAGACCGCGAGAACCUAAAAGAGAAGGUUAUCUCUGUAAGUUUGAUGGCUAAAGAUGGGGGUGGAAAGGUGGGAUUUUGCAUUGUUAAUGUCGUCCUAACUGACAUCAACGAUAAUGCCCCACAAUUUAGGGCAGCAGAAUACAGAGCAAACGUUGCAUCAGAUGUUCUAAGGGGAACCACAGUGUUGAGGGUCGCAGCAUCUGACAUGGAUGAAGGCAGCAAUGCUGACAUUACCUACACCAUUGAGGCCGAGGUAGAAAAUGUAGUGGAAAACUUUGAGAUCCAUCCCUACAGCGGUGCCAUUGUAACGAGGGAAAGCCUCAUUGGACUUGAAAAUGACCUUUACACAUUCUAUGUCAGGGCGAAGGAUGCAGGGAAUCCACCAAAACAGUCUGUUGUACCUGUGUACAUCCAAAUACUGGCUCCUGAAGUUCCUGUGCCAAAGUUUGUUGAACCUCACUAUAGGUUUGCAUUAGCUGAAGACCUGUCAGUGGGGUCAGAGAUUGAUGUUAUUCAAGCAGAGAGUGAACAACCUGUUGUGUAUAGCCUUGUCAGAGGAAACACUCCUGAGAGCAAUCAGGAUGAGGUUUUUGUUGUUGACCGAGACACUGGCAGUCUGAAACUGGAGAAGAACCUUGACCAUGAAACGACCAAGUGGUACCAGCUCACAUUGCUGGCACAAAGCAUCCACGAAGGCAUUGAAACUGUGUCCUCUGUGGACAUUAGCAUUCAGGUGAAGGACAUCAAUGACAAUACCCCCUUCUUUGAGUCCAACCCUUACAAGGCAAUUGUGGUGGAGAACCUGCCAGGGGGCACCCCAGUGAUCCAGGUGAAGGCCAACGAUCGGGACUCUGGUACAAACGGACAAGUUGUUUACAGCCUGGACCAGAAACAGGAGACUGAAGAAAUCGCAGAGCUGUUUGCCAUUAAUGGCGAGAAUGGCUGGCUGACCACCCUGAAAGAGCUGGACCGGGAGAGGCGGAGCACAUACACCGUGGCCCUAAUAGCCACCGACAGAGGAGAGAAGAGACAGCUGAUUGCCAGCACCAAAGUGGAGGUGACUGUGGCUGACGUUAAUGACAACCCACCGCGUUUUACAGCCAAGGUCUAUAAAGGUACCGUGAGUGAAGAUGAUCCCCCACCCAGCGGAGUCAUUGCCAUUCUCAGCACCACUGAUGACGAUACAGAGGACAUGAACAAGCAAGUUAGUUACUUUAUAACAGGAGGGGAUCCGCUGGGACAGUUUGCCGUCGAGCAUGUCCAGAGGGAGUGGAAGGUGUCUGUCAGGAAGCCCCUGGACCGGGAGCAGAAGGACCAUUAUCUGCUGAACAUCACUGCCUCUGAUGGCACUUUCAUGGCCAAGGCUGUGGUGGAAGUGAAGGUACUGGACGCCAAUGAUAACAGCCCUGUUUGUAAGAAGAUGCGGUAUGAGGAGUCCGUCUCUGAGGAUGCCUCAGCAGGCAGGCUGGUGCUGCAAGUAUCUGCCACAGAUGCAGACAUUCGCUCCAAUGGACAGAUCUCCUAUGAGCUCAGCGGAUCUGGGUCUGAGAAAUUCAGCAUGGACUCGGAAACAGGCGAGCUGAGGACUCUGCUGCCCCUGGACCGUGAACAAGAGGAGGACUACCGUCUUGAGGUGCGGGCACUGGACGGCGGGGGCCGCUACUGCCAGGCCAGUGUACACAUAACGGUGGAAGAUGUGAACGAUAACGCUCCGCAGUUUGCCUCUGAGUCCUACAGUGUCACAGUCUUCGAAAACACGGAGGUGGGCACACCGGUGGCACGGCUACAGGCCUCAGACCUUGACCUGGGUGUGAACGGAGACGUCCUGUACAUGUUAGAGGACUCCGCCAAUGGCUACUUCUCCAUUGAUGAGCGCUCAGGCCUUGUCCGACUCCAGAAGUCACUGGACAGGGAGCUGCAGGCAGAGUAUGAGUUGACGGCCCGGGCCACCGACCAGGGGACUCCACAGAGGAUGUCCUCAGUCUGCCGGGUAGCAGUGUCCGUACUGGACAUCAAUGACAACCCACCGGUGUUUGAACGUCAUGAGUACGUUGCCACCGUGCCAGAAAACAUUGCCGUGGGAACCCAGAUCCUGCGUGUCUUUGCUGCUAGCAGGGAUGUUGAGGCCAAUGGCGAGAUCUCCUAUUCCAUCGUUAGUGGCAACGAGCACGGGAUGUUCCGAGUAGACUCCCAGACUGGAGACUUAUUUGUGAUCGAACCAUUGGACUACGAGAUCUCCCAUGAAUACUACUUGACUGUGGAAGCCACAGAUGGUGGUGUGCCUCCUCUGAGUGACCUGGCUACCAUCAGCAUCAACCUGACAGAUAUUAACGACAACAGCCCUGUGUUCAGUCAGGAUGUCUACUCGACUGUGGUCAGCGAAGACUCCGAGCUGGGAAAGACCAUAAUGGCACUUGUAGCAGAGGACAUCGAUGGACCGUCACACAACCGCGUCCGGUACGCCAUCAUGGGUGGAAACGAGGGUAGCCCCUUCACUGUGGACGCUGCCACCGGUGUGCUGAAAGUGGCUCGACACUUGGAUAGAGAGAAGAUAUCUGGAUACACACUGACUGUGCAGGCCACCGACAAUGGGAGUCCACCUAAAUCCAGCAGCGCCACCAUCAACAUUGACGUGUCUGAUGUGAACGACAAUGCCCCGGUAUUCUCCCAUGCCAACUACAGCAUUAUCAUACAGGAGAACUGCCCCCUGGGAACCAGCGUGCUUCAGCUCAGCGUGACAGACAAGGAUGCCUCCCACAACGGACCUCCCUUCUCUUUCGAUAUCAUUGAUGGAAAUACUGGGAGCACCUUCCAGAUCGACCCACAGGGGUCGCUGAUAGUGGUUGGCCACUUGAACCGUUGGGCUAAAGAGCACUAUCUGCUUCACGCCCAGGUCUCUGACAGCGGGAGACCCCAGCUGCAGUCGUCCACCUUCAUUAGUGUCAGGUUGAUCGAGGAGAGCAUCCAUCCACCAUCCGUACUUCCUCUGGAUGUUUUCAUCACCACUCCUGGCGAGGAAUAUGCUGGUGGGGUCUUGGGAAAGGUCCAUGCCACUGACCAGGAUGUAUACGACACGCUGACCUACAACCUGGCAUCUCAGCCCACUGGCGCCACUUUCUCUGUGUCUCCUGGCGACGGCAAGCUGGUGGCUCGCGGGCCACUGGACCCCGGCCACUACCAGCUCAACGUGACCGUCACAGACGGCCGCUUCACGGCCGUUGUUGAUGUGGGCGUGCACGUGCGGCAGGUGGGACGAGUGGCACUAGAUGACUCGGUUGCUGUGCGCUUCACCACAAUCACACCUGAGGAGUUUAUUGGCGACUACUGGCGCAACUUUCAGCGUGCAUUGCGCAACAUGGCUGGUGUCCGGCGUGCAGAUGUACAGAUGGUCAGCCUUCAGCCAUCAGAGACGCCAGGGGACCUGGACGUGCUGCUGACCCUGGAGAAGUCAGGUGGACCCUACCCCUCGCCUGAAGCCCUUUUCCGCAAGCUCAACACCUCGGUGGCUACCAUUGAGGAGAUGAUUGGUGUGCGAAUUGCAAGAGUCUACAGAAAGCUGUGUGCUGGGCUAGACUGCCCACUUCGUUUCUGCCAGGAGACUGUCACCCUGGACCGAGCUGCCGUCUCCACCUACAGCACAGCCCGGCUCAGCUUCAUAACGCCUCGGCACAAGCGCUCACCCAUGUGCCUCUGCAAAGGUGAAGAGUGUCCCACCUGGAACACGGUGUGUGAAGGAGACCCCUGUCCACAAGGUACCGAGUGUGUGGCUGACCCCAAGAGGGUGGUAUACACCUGCAUGUGCCCAAAUGGCGAACAAGGCGGGUGCUCAGAGGGACCUUCACUGACUUUCAGCGGGAAUGGCUACAUGAAGUACCGCCUGCUAGAGAAUGAGAACAAAGAGGAAAUGAAGCUGUCGCUUCGCCUCAGGACCUUCUCCAGCCACGGCACCAUCAUGUAUGCUAAAGGGACUGACUACAGCAUCCUGGAGAUUGUGAACGGCCGCCUGCAGUACAAGUUUGACUGUGGCAGUGGCCCUGGCAUGGUGUCUGUGCACAGUGCCCAGGUGAACGAUGGCGAGUGGCACAGUGUUUCGCUUGAGGUGGACGGCAACUAUGCCCGGCUCAUGCUGGACCGGCUGCAUGCAGCCUCAGGCACUGCUCCAGGCACACUGCGCACUCUCAACCUUGACAGUCGCUUGUUUCUGGGUGGCCAUGCCCGCCAGCACGCUCGGGUACUCCCAGGACCUGGAGCGUUCCGGGGCUGUUUGGCUGCCGUUCGCCUCAAUGGACAGGAACUGCCACUGGUCCACCAGGUCCAGGCUCGAACUCACGGUCCCGCCAUCGUGGAGGAGGCAGUGGAUGUGACUCCUGGCUGUGCAGUCCUCGAGGCUCAGGCCUGCUCCAGCAACCCCUGCACCAAUGGGGGCAUUUGCUCCUCUCUGCCUGGAGGUGGUUUCUUCUGCAAGUGCAGCGGUUCCUUCAGUGGGACCCGCUGUGAGCUGAGCACCAACCCCUGUGCCUCCAACCCCUGCCUCUAUGGUGGGACCUGUCUGUCUCGGGGCCACGACUUCCACUGCCAGUGCCGGGGCCAGUACUCAGGGCAGCGGUGUCAGCUGGGUCCCUACUGCAAGGACAACCCUUGCCAGAAUAGUGGCAGGUGCAUCGACAGCCUGGAUGGACCUGUUUGCGAGUGCGAGCCCGGCUUCCAAGGGGACAGAUGCCUGGCUGACGUGGAUGAGUGCGUACAGAACCCUUGCACCAACGGGGCACGCUGCCACAAUUCUUACGGCUCUUAUAGCUGCAAUUGCACUGCAGGCUUUGGCGGGCGACUCUGUGAGCUGGGGUCAGAGGUCCGCAAUGAGCUGGUGUCCACGCCUUGGAACAUUGGCCUGGAAGAAGUAGUGGGCAUCGUCGUCUUCCUGGCAGGUGUCUUCCUCCUCGCUCUGCUGUUUGUGGCUGUGCGGCGGCGGGUCUGUAGGCACAGGAAGCAGGAGCCUGAAGAUGCUGGAAAGCGUUGCGGUGCCAGCCAGCCUUUCCUGCACAGGCCCUACUACCCGGACGUGCCUCCGCAGGUGCCCGUACGGCCCGUAUCCUACACUCCCAGCAUCCCCAGUGACUCACGGAACAACCUGGACCGUAACUCUUUUGAGGGCUCAGCCAUCCCCGAGCACCCCGAGUUCAGCACGUUCAAUCCCGAGCCGGUUCACGGACACCGCAAGGCCGUGGCAGUGUGCAGUGUGGCACCCAACCUGCCGCCCCCGCCACCAUCCAACUCCGUCUCGGACAGUGACUCCAUCCAGAAGCCCACCUGGGACUAUGACUAUGAUGCCAAAGUGGUGGACCUGGACCCUUGCCUUGCUAAGGAGGCAGUACAGGAAAGUGCCUGCCACCCCUACAAUACCCGCGGCAGCCUUUCUGAGGUUCAGUCGCUGAGCUCCUUCCAGUCCGAGUCCUGUGACGAUAACGCUCCCAUUUGGAUCAAACCAGUCCAGAGAACCAGAACUGGUUUUUAACUAGGGGCAGCUUGUAAGUUUUGAUUUGCAUCAGUACAGAAGGAAGAGACCAAAAACAGGAUAAGAGGUUCUCCAGUUUAAAAAAAAAAAAGCUUUCCUGCAGUUUGUCCUCCCAUCCACCAGGACGUACGCAAGAGUUUGUUUCAGUUAACUUCAAAAAAACCUUAAAAAUUCAUAUUUUUCUAAACGUAAGGACAGUGUGAAAUCAGAAUAGUUCUUUCAGUUAUGAUUUUAACACUUACAUUAUAAUUCUCUUUCUUGUUUUAUUCUACUAACCAUUUCAAGCUACAAAUGGAUGUUUGGAGAAGACCAAGCACAGCCUGAAAGGGUACAAAGUACAUAUGAUGGUCCUCCCAUACGUGCCAUGUCAUUGUGCACCAGCUCUCCUGACCUGUUAGAAUAUGAGGAGGCUCCAGGUUCCGAGAAUGUGCUUCUGCUUCAGGUCGUGGGAUUGUGGUUCCAUCCAUUACUUUCCACCUUCAUCUGUACUUACCCCAACCCUGCUACCACUGGUCAUGCAGUGCGACCUCCUCCACUGAUCUGUGCAGCUCCCAGGUUAUGGUUAAGAGCUCUACCUUGACCGAGUUGAGCUUCAGGAGUCCUUAUCAGGGGUUUUUACUGGGUGUGUUUGGGCAGGAAAGGCUUUUUUUAUCCUUGAGAAUUUCACUGGUCCUUCCUUCCAUACUGUCAGUCUCAUCUUCAGCAUCUCAGUGCCGUGGACGUGAAUGUUACCUUGCGCAAGAUCCAACCUCCCUGCCCCGCCCUCACAGCCCCUCGUUCUGUUGCAGUCCUGUGUUUUUUCGACCGGUGGUGACCACCCAGGCAUCCAGCUUUAGACCUCCUCCUAGCAUUUGUGGUGAUGGCCAGAACAUGUACCCUUGUUGUCCUCUCCCAGAAAGAGAGCAGUCACAUCCAUAUGGAGAGUGCACAUUUGUGAGAUGUGUCUGUACAUUUGUUGUCUUGCUUAUGCAGUGAAUUAUUAUUUCUCAAUCUCAUGUACUAAUGCUGCCUUUUUAUAUCUGCUCCCUCUCUGCCUGUCACAAGCCUCCAUAGUGACUGUAAUACACCUUGUCAACUCUGUCGUUGACACGGUGGAAAAAGAAGAGUCUUUCUCGGCUCACGACCUCAAGAACCCCAGAGGCUACCACUGGGACACAUCGGAUUGGAUGCCAAGUGUUCAACUUCCUGGAAUCCAGGAAUACCCACAGUAUGAGAUAGUGGAGGCCCCCGUACCGCUGUACAGCGACCUCGACGCCAUUGACACCGACUACUACCCCGGAGGCUAUGACAUUGAAAGCGACUUCCCACCACCACCUGACGAUUUUCCUGUCCAAGAGGAGCUGCCCCCACUGCCUGAGCUGCAGCACAGUGACGGUUACGGGACAUCACGGGCCACUCCCCCACCAGCAUCCAGCCCCGGAUCAUUUUCACGCGGCCGACCACCGCACGACACCUACUACAGC